rnacentral:tRNA from 1 species
GACUCGGUGGCGUAACGGUAGCGCGUCUGACUCCAGAUCAGAAGGUUGCGUGUUCAAAUCACGUCCGGGUCA